AACAGAAGGCAUUUUGAAUUUAUCUUCAGCUUUUUCAUCUAUAAUUAGAUUUCUUUUUAUUAGUGUAGGUAUCUACUUCUAUUUAUUUUAAUGCUGUAUCUUUUGCUCUAUAUUUGAAAUAUUAGAAUGGUGCACAGCCUGCGACUAGUGAGCCAGAUGUAGCCUGCAGACUGUUGAUAUGCAACAAGGGAAAGCUUCUAAACACUAUAAAUCCAUUGAAGAGGACAUUAUAGGAGCCAAUAAACUGACAGCAUGGACAGAAGGGUGUUAGAAUUAGCAGGAAGUAAGUAAAGUACUUAACUACCUUAAGUAUUUAGUUUAAAAUUAUGUGUUAAUCAAGGUUUUGAUCACGCCAUCUAGUAUUUGUGUUCAAGGGAUGAUUGUUUUUAAUGAGGGGUUGCUUUGCUUAAGGAAACUUUAAACAAAAUUAUGUUGUGAAAAAAGAAAAUUCUAAGAUUUGUUUCCCCCGUUUUUUUUCUUUCUGUGAUUGAUAGCAACCUUUUCAUU